rnacentral:rRNA from 1 species
UACGUAGGAGCCAAGCGUUGUCCGGAUUGACUGGGCGUAAAGCGCACGCAGGCGGAUGCGCGCGUGGGGUGUGAAAUCUGGCCGCUUAACGGCCAGGCGCCAUCCCAUACGGCGCGUCUGGAGUGAUGCAGAGGUCGAUGGAAUUGCCGGUGUAGUGGUGAAAUGCGUAGAGAUCGGCAGGAACACCCAGGGGGAAACCAGUCGACUGGGCAUCUACUGACGCUGAGGUGCGAGAGCGUGGGGAGCGAACCGGG